AUAACUUUCAAAGUCUGAAAUUUGUUCGAGUUAAAAAAAAUAAAUAUAUAUAAUGUUAUAAAAGAUUUGUCGAACGAACACAAACCAAGCACGCAACAAGAACAGGUUUUCUGUAACGUCACUGAGGGCCGAGGCGCAGGUCUAAACUGGUUUAAUCCGAUCGAGUUCCUGCUCGGUUUCCUCAGAACAAUAAACAGCCCUCCAUUUUAUUUCCCGCCUAAACUGCUGACGAGCAACUCUACACAGGCUGUUGAAGAAGAAAAAAAAACGUUUUUUGACUUUCCGCCUCAUUGGGAGAAGAUGAGCUCUUUUUCACUUGCAAACUCCUGACUUUCAGUUACUCGCUCGUUCCCAUUGCGACAAAGUCGUGAUUGUUAGGUCCAGUGGUUCAGCCAGUUACUGAAGGUGAUCUUUAAUAGAACAAAUAUGUCAGGAAGAAGGUCGGAGACGUUCUCUGUGAUGGUCAUCAGCUUGGCCACCAUUUCUUCUCUACACCAUCUCUACCAGGGAUUCCAGAUAGGACUCAGUGACAAAACUGACAUUUUUGCCGCAUUACAAAUUGUUCAUGCAUGACCGAAUAUGAAAUAUGUGCAAAACAUUCAUGUUGCAACUGUGCUGAAACUCAGCAGCGCCAUCUUCUGUUUAUUUAUUGUAUUUUAUUUGUCUGUUUUUUUUUUUUAAAGAAAGGAAGAAAUGUACAGUAUGUUAGCACACUAAAUGUAUUGUACUUUAGCAUAUUGUCAGCAAGUGAAACAUACAAACCAUUUAUUUUACAAUCCAUAAGAGUGUUUUCAGCAGAAGCAACUGCUGCAUAUAACAAACCAUUAUCAAUAGAACUGUAUAUAUUAGGUAUCUUAGGUAUGAAUUUUUCCCUUCACAUGACAUUAAAGUUUAUGUUAUUUUAAUGUUCUAAAAUACUCGCUUAAUGGGACAUUUUACCGAGCAAAAGUAGCAACACUGCAUAUCAACACAGCAUUUAUUCCAAAAGAAUGCAUUUGUAUACCAUGAAAGAUUUAAGCUUAGAAAAAGAUCUAAAGAUUUUUAGACAUUUCUAUUAGCAACUGGUACAGACUAAAUAUCAUAGCUUCUAGCUUCUGACUUCAGCACUGUAAGGAUUCAACUGACUGGACAAAUAUUCUGCCCCCAAAGUGGUACCGUAUUUAUAAUGCCACAUUGAUGGUGCAUUGAUCUGUCUAGCAGUGUGAAUAUCAUAUAUGGUGUAAUCAGGUCAAUUGGAACAGUUUAACUGAGCAGCAUUUACACUAUAUGACCAAAAGUAUUGUUGACCAUCCCAUUCCAGAUUUAUUCCCUUUGCUGUUAUAAUAAACUCCACUUUUCUAGGAAGGCUUUCCAUUAGAUUUUGGAGCAUGGCUGUGGAGAAUUGUGUCCAUUCCGCCACAAGAGCACUGAUGUUGGGUGAAGAGGUCCGGGGUGCAGGGUUGAGGUCAGGGCUCUUUGCAGGAGACUUGUGUACUUCCACUCCAACCUUAACACACCAUGUCCUCAUGGAUCUCACUUUGUAUCAUGCUGGAACAGGUUUGGGCUUCUUAGUUCCUGUGAAGAGAAACUGCAAUGCUACAGCAUACAAAGACAUUCUAGAUAAUUGGCUGCUUCAUACUUUGUGGCAACAAUUUGCGGAAGAACCACAUAUAGGUGUGGUGGUCAUGUGUCCACAUACCUAAAGUGUCUGUGAUAAAUGAUACUCAGAAGUUAUGUUACUAAACCACUGUAGUGAAACUGCUUGAUAGAAAUAACAAACAUGAAUAUAACGUAAUUCGUGUGACAUCAUAUCAGGGGGGUGUGGUCAGCAUCAAACAGGAAAUUGACACCGGUGAAUGAUGUAAGAAACAUUACAAACGCUUUGGAUGUUUAUAAUUGAAUCUUUUUUUUU